UACAGAGGUCCCAACCGUUGUUCGGAUUCAUUGGGCGUAAAGGGUGCGUAGGCGGCGGGGCAAGUCAGGUGUGAAAUCUCGGGGCUCAACCCCGAAACUGCACUUGAUACUGCCUUGCUCGAGUACUGGAGAGGAGACUGGAAUUUACGGUGUAGCAGUGAAAUGCGUAGAUAUCGUAAGGAAGACCAGUGGCGAAGGCGAGUCUCUGGACAGUUACUGACGCUGAGGCACGAAAGCGUGGGGAGCAAACAGG
rnacentral:rRNA from 1 species